UACAGAGGGUGCAAGCGUUGUUCGGAAUUAUUGGGCGUAAAGCGCGUGUAGGCGGCUUGUUAUGUCGGGUGUGAAAGCCCUCAGCUCAACUGAGGAAGUGCGCCCGAAACUGGCGAGCUUGAGUGCCGGAGAGGAUAGCAGAACACCCGGUGUAGAGGUGAAAUUCGUAGAUAUCGGGUAGAACACCAGUGGCGAAGGCGGCUAUCUGGACGGACACUGACGCUGAGACGCGAAAGCGUGGGGAGCAAACAGG
rnacentral:rRNA from 1 species